AACGUAGGAGACAAACGUUAUCCGGAGUUACUGGGCGUAAAGGGCGUGUAGGUGGUUGCGUAAGUCUGGCGUGAAAUUUUUCGGCUUAACCGGGAAAGGUCGUCGGAUACUGCGUAGCUAGAGGACGGUAGAGGCGUGUGGAAUUCCGGGUGUAGUGGUGAAAUGCGUAGAGAUCGGGCGGAACACCAGCGGCGAAGGCGGCAUCCUGGCCCUGACCUGACGCUGAGGCGCGAGAGCGUGGGGAGCAAACUGG
rnacentral:rRNA from 1 species